UAGGGAAUCUUCCACAAUGGGCGAAAGCCUGAUGGAGCAACGCCGCGUGUGUGAUGAAGGGUUUCGGCUCGUAAAACACUGUUGUAAGAGAAGAAUGACAUUGAGAGUAACUGUUCAAUGCGUGACGGUAUCUUACCAGAAAGGAACGGCUAAAUACGUGCC
rnacentral:rRNA from 1 species